UACGUAGGGUGCGAGCGUUGUCCGGAAUUAUUGGGCGUAAAGAGCUCGUAGGCGGUGUGUCGCGUCGGCCGUGAAAACCUGGGGCUUAACUCUGGGCGUGCGGUCGAUACGGGCAUCACUAGAGUUCGGCAGGGGAGACUGGAAUUCCUGGUGUAGCGGUGAAAUGCGCAGAUAUCAGGAGGAACACCGGGUGGCGAAGGCGGGUCUCUGGGGCCGAUACUGACGCUGAGGAGCGAAAGCAUGGGUAGCGAACAGG
rnacentral:rRNA from 1 species